UACACAACUCUUAUAUUCUUUUGGUGCAAAUAUACACAUAUCUUCACGAUAACAUCAAUUCAUCUAAAAUAGCAAGGAUAGAUACAUAUUUCUUACCUUCUUCUUACGCUAGUUAAUGGAAGAUUAGCAGUGGACAACAUUUCUUUUUCUCUUUCGUUCAACACCCAAAACAGAAACAUGAGCUACAAUUUUAAAGAAGCGAAGUGCAAUAUUUUUUUUUUACCAAGGAUAACAUACGGGGUUUUGUAUACCCCUUCAAUCUCGUUGUUUUAUUUUGUCGUGUUGUUAAAUUCGGACUUUCUUCAAAAUGAAGUAAAGGAGAAGGAGAGGAGUUUUUGGCAAAUGAGGUCAGCAGGUAGGCGGAUCUGAUUCCUGGGAGCUCUAUCAGCAGUACUUGGCAGCGCUCUAGUUGUUUCGGAGCCUCAGUUUCUUGGUACUACUUUUGUGUGUAUAAUCGGGCAUGGCAGGAUCCGGCCCUUCAUAUGUAUAUGUGUACGUUGUUUAGAGACUCGUAGACAGAUAUGUACAGUCAGAUGUUUUGUACUUUUGUUGUCCCUGUCGCUGUAUAAUGUGCUAGCAAAGUUUAUUAGCCUAUGUUCAUAAAUAGCUACUAAUGUUAAUGUUAAGUAACAAAAAAAAAAAAAUGAUAUAGUUCAUACGA